UACAGAACACGCUGGCGGCAUGCCUAAACACAUGCAAGUCGAACGAGACCUUCGGGUCUAGUGGCGCACGGGUGCGUAACGCGUGGGAACCUGCCUUUAGGUUCGGAAUAACUCAGAGAAAUUUGAGCUAAUACCGGAUAAUGUCUUCGGACCAAAGAUUUAUCGCCUUUAGAUGGGCCCGCGUAAGAUUUAGCUAGUUGGUGGGUAAAGGCCUACCAAGGCGACGAUCUUUAGCUGGUCUGAGAGGAUGAUCAGCCACACUGGGACUGAGACACGGCCCAGACUCCUACGGGAGGCAGCAGUGGGGAAUAUUGGACAAUGGGCGAAAGCCUGAUCCAGCAAUGCCGCGUGAGUGAUGAAGGCCUUAGGGUUGUAAAGCUCUUUUACCCGAGAUGAUAAUGACAGUAUCGGGAGAAUAAGCUCCGGCUAACUCCGUG
rnacentral:rRNA from 1 species